GCAGUCGUGGCCUAAUGGUUUCAAGAGUCGUACUUGUAACCCGAAGGUCGUGGGUUCGAGUCUCAGGCCGGCAGGG